UACGUAGGGUCCAAGCGUUGUUCGGAAUUACUGGGCGUAAAGCGCGCGUAGGCGGUCUGUCACGUCGGCUGUGAAAUCCCGAGGCUCAACCUCGGGUCUGCAGUCGAUACGGGCAAACUAGAGUAUUGCAGGGGAGACUGGAAUUCCUGGUGUAGCGGUGAAAUGCGCAGAUAUCAGGAGGAACACCGGUGGCGAAGGCGGGUCUCUGGGCAAUAACUGACGCUGAGGAGCGAAAGCGUGGGGAGCGAACAGG
rnacentral:rRNA from 1 species